ensembl:lncRNA
ACUGAUUUGGCCAUUUUGGUGUUGUUUGGUCAAUGUCCUUCAGAAUAAUGUGUUGGUCGAUGACCUCUAGGCUGCACCAUAAGAGGUCAUAGCCUUCUGUGGAGCAACCUGGACCUGCUGUGGACCUGAUGGUGUCCCCAGCCUUAGGUCCCUGGGGUUAGGGUCCCCAUGGUUAGGUCCCCAGGGUUAGGGUACCCAUGGUUAGGUCCCCGGGGUUACUGUUCCCAGGGUUACGGUCCCCAAGGUUAGGGUUAGGUCCCCAUGGUUACUGUUCCCAGGGUUACGGUCCCCAGGGUUAGGUCCCCAGGGUUAGGUCCCCAGGGUUAGGGUUCCCAGGGUUAGGUCCCCAUGGUUAGGUCCCCAUGGUUAGGGUCCCCAUGGUUAGGUCCCCAUGGUUAGGGUCCCCAGGGUUAGGUCCCCAGGGUUACGGUCCCCAAGGUUACGGUCCCCAGUGUUACAGUCCCCAGGGUUAGGUCCCCAGGGUUACGGUCCCCAGGGUUAGGUCCCCAGGGUUAGGGUUCCCAGGGUUAGGGUCCCCAGUGUUAGGGUCCCCAGGGUUACGGUCCCCAGGGUUAUAGUCCCCAGGGUUACGGUCCCCAGUGUUACGGUCCCCAGGGUUAGGGUUCCCAGGGCACACCAUGGUGAUUCUCAGGCUGAUGGGAGAUAAUAUAGGAAGGGUCAAAAGGAUAUUUAGUGAUUCAUUUUCACAUCUGUUGUUUGUUGCUCAUCAGUCAGCAGCUGGUAGUUGGAUCAGAAAGGAUAGAAUUACAUUAAAUAUUUGUUUUGUGCGCCAAUAAUGACAUCUUUACUGUAAAUUAAAAUAGCGUUAAUUAAUUGCCAAUUACAUGUUUAUGAACAUUAUUGGCUAUAUCCCACAGAAUGUGAUGUUAGAUUGAGAUCUCUUUCUGUGCUAGUCCUAUCUCUCUAGGCUGCCCGUUAACUGACCUCUGACCUCUCUACACCUGCCCAGUAACUGACCUCUGAGUUCUUAAUGGGUUCUUCUUAUUUUACUGUACACAACCUCAGGGUCAGUGGUGACACUAUGGAAGCCUUGGCUUUUCAUAGCAGAGUGUGAGAGUGUGAGAGUGUGUGUGUGUG